GACGAACGCUGGCGGCGUGCUUAACACAUGCAAGUCGAACGGGCUCUGUCUGGCUGUGUGCUGGGUGGGGUUAGUGGCGAACGGGUGAGUAAUACGUGAGUAACCUGCCCUCUUCUUUGGGAUAAGCCUUGGAAACGGGGUCUAAUACUGGAUAUUCCUGUCUGGUCGCAUGGCUGGGUGGGGAAAGUUUUUUUCGGUGGGGGAUGGGCUCGCGGCCUAUCAGCUUGUUGGUGGGGUGAUGGCCUACCAAGGCGUCGACGGGUAGCCGGCCUGAGAGGGUGACCGGCCACACUGGGACUGGGAUACGGCCCAGACGCCUACGGGAGGCAGCAGUGGGGGAUAUUGCACAAUGGGCGCAAGCCUGAUGCAGCGACGCCGCGUGGGGGAUGACGGCUUUCGGGUUGUAAACCUCUUUCGUCGGGGGACAAGGCUCUGCUUGGUGGUGGGGUUGAGGGUGCCCGGUGAAGAAGCGCCGGCUAACUACGUG
rnacentral:rRNA from 1 species